rnacentral:rRNA from 1 species
CCCUUAGAUGUUCUGGGCGGCCCGCGCACUACAUUGGCACUGUCAGCAAGGGUCUGAAACUAAAACUUUUGGGUAUUCUGAGAACCGGUGUCGUGACUGGGAUUGACCCUUGCAAUUAUUGGUUAUGAACGAGGAAUUCCUUGUAAUCGCGGUUUAUCAGCCCGCGUUGAAUGCGUCCCUGCCCUUUGUACACACCGCCCGUCGCUCCUACCGAUGAAUCGUCCGGUGAAGUUCAUGGAGUAGUGGUUGUUCCAUCCGCUGUCGAAGUGAAAUAAACCUCNUNAUUUAUNGGAAGGAGAANUCGUANCA